CAGCCGCCGCGGUAAUACGGAGGGUGCAAGCGUUAAUCGGAAUUACUGGGCGUAAAGCGCACGCAGGCGGUCUGACAAGUCAGAUGUGAAAUCCCCGGGCUUAACCUGGGAACUGCAUUUGAAACUGUCAGGCUGGAGUCUUGUAGAGGGGGGUGGAAUUCCAGGUGUAGCGGUGAAAUGCGUAGAGAUCUGGAGGAAUACCGGUGGCGAAGGCGGCCCCCUGGACAAAGACUGACGCUCAGGUGCGAAAGCGUGGGGAGCAAACAGGAUUAGAUACCCCUGUAGUCCCCUGUCUCUUAUA
rnacentral:rRNA from 1 species